AUUGAACGCUAGCGGCAGGCCUAACACAUGCAAGUCGAACGAGUGGCGGACGGGUGAGUAAUAUAUGGGAAAGUGCCCAAUAGCGGGGGAUAACUACUGGAAAGGGUAGCUAAUACCGCAUACCAUCGGAGCGGCCGAGAUGGGAUUAGCUAGUGGGUGGGGUAACGGCUCACCAAGGCAACGAUCCGUAGCUGGUCUGAGAGGAAGACCAGCCACACUGGGACUGAGACACGGCCCAGACUCCUACGGGAGGCAGCAGUGGGGAAUAUUGGACAAUGGGCGCAACCCUGAUCCAGCCAUCCCGCGUGUAUGAUGAAGGCCUUCGGGUUGUAAAGUACUUUCGGCAGGGAAGCGGUAUCCGCAGAAUAAGCACCGGCUAACUACGUGCCAGCAGCCGCGGUAAUUC
rnacentral:rRNA from 1 species